GGCGUGCCUAACACGAUGCGAAGUCGAACGAAGACCGUGCCGACGGACUCUUCGAGGGAAGACGGCACGGACUUAGUGGCGGACGGGUGAGUAACGCGUGGGUAACCUGCCCUGUACAGGGGGACAACAGCCGGAAACGGCUGCUAAUACCGCAUAAGCCUGCGGGGCCGCAUGGCCCGGCAGGAAAAGCUGCGGCGGUACAGGAUGGGCCCGCGUCUGAUUAGCCAGUUGGCGGGGUAACGGCCCACCAAAGCAACGAUCAGUAGCCGGCUUGAGAGAGCGAACGGCUACAUUGGGACUGAGACACGGCCCAAACUCCUACGGGAGGCAGCAGUGGGGAAUAUUGCACAAUGGGGGGAACCCUGAUGCAGCAACGCCGCGUGAGUGAAGAAGUACCUCGGUAUGUAAAGCUCUAUCAGCAGGGAAGAAAAUGACGGUACCUGACCAAGAAGCACCGGCUAAAUACGUG
rnacentral:rRNA from 1 species